UACGUAGGGGCAAGCGUUGUCCGGAAUCAUUGGGCGUAAGAGCGCGUAGGCGGUCCGAUAAGUCGGCUGUGAAAGUCAGGGGCUCAACCCUUGAAAGCCGGCCGAUACUGUCGGACUAGAGUUCGGAAGAGGCGAGUGGAAUUCCCGGUGUAGCGGUGAAAUGCGCAGAUAUCGGGAGGAACACCAAUGGCGAAGGCAGCUCGCUGGGACGUGACUGACGCUGAGGCGCGAAAGCGUGGGGAGCAAACAGGG
rnacentral:rRNA from 1 species